AGAGUUUGAUCCUGGCUCAGGAUGAACGCUGGCGGCGUGCCUAAUACAUGCAAGUCGAGCGAGAACUUGAUGAUCGAAGAUUCGUCUGAUUGAUUCAAGGGAAAGCGGCGGACGGGUGAGUAACGCGUAGGCAACCUGCCCUUAGCAGAGGGAUAGCCAUUGGAAACGAUGAUUAAAACCUCAUAACGCUCUUGGGACACAUGUCCGGGGAGCCAAAGAUUUAUCGGCUAAGGAUGGGCCUGCGUCUGAUUAACUGGUUGGUGAGGUAACGGCUCACCAAGGUGACGAUCAGUAGCCGACCUGAGAGGGUGAACGGCCACAUUGGAACUGAGACACGGUCCAAACUUCUACGGAAGGCAGCAGUAAGGAAUCUUGCACAAUGGGGGAAACCCUGAUGCAGCAACGCCGCGUGAACGAAGAAGGCCUUCGGGUUGUAAAGUUCUGAUCUUGGGGAAGAAGGAAGUGACGGUACCCAAGGAGAAAGCCCCGGCUAACUACGUGCCAGCAGCCGCGGUAAUACGUAGGGGGCAAGCGUUAUCCGGAAUUAUUGGGCGUAAAGAGUGCGUAGGUGGUUACCUAAGCGCAAGGUUUAAUCUUGAGGCUCAACCUCAUAUUGCCUUGCGAACUGGGCUACUUGAGUGCAGGAGGGGAAAGCGGAAUUCCUAGUGUAGCGGUGAAAUGCGUAGAUAUUAGGAAGAACACCGGUGGCGAAGGCGGCUUUCUGGACUGUAACUGACACUGAGGCACGAAAGCGUGGGGAGCAAACAGGAUUAGAUACCCUGGUAGUCCACGCCGUAAACGAUGAGCACUAGUUGUUGGUCCCGAACGGGAUCAGUGACGCAGUUAACGCAAUAAGUGCUCCGCCUGGGGAGUACGGUGGCAACACUAAAACUCAAAGGAAUUGACGGGGA
rnacentral:rRNA from 1 species